AGCGAUAUAGUGUAGUGGAGUGCACAGCAGUCUCAUGAGCUGCUAGAUUUGGUUCAAUUCCAAAAUUCGCUA